rnacentral:rRNA from 1 species
UACGUAGGGACCAAGCGUUGUUCGGAUUUACUGGGCGUAAAGGGCGCGUAGGCGGAUCUUUAAGUCAGGGGUGAAAUCCCGGAGCUCAACUCCGGAACUGCCUUUGAUACUGGGGAUCUUGAGUUCGAGAGAGGUGAGUGGAACUGCGAGUGUAGAGGUGAAAUUCGUAGAUAUUCGCAAGAACACCAGUGGCGAAGGCGGCUCACUGGCUCGAUACUGACGCUGAGGUGCGAAAGCGUGGGGAGCAAACAGG